rnacentral:rRNA from 1 species
GUGGGGAAUCUUGCGCAAUGGGCGAAAGCCUGACGCAGCCAUGCCGCGUGAAUGAUGAAGGUCUUAGGAUUGUAAAAUUCUUUCACCGGGGAAGAUAAUGACGGUACCCGGAGAAGAAGCCCCGGCUAACUUCGUGCCAGCAGCCGCGGUAAUACGAAGGGGGCUAGCGUUGCUCGGAAUUACUGGGCGUAAAGGGCGCGUAGGCGGACAUUUAAGUCAGAGGUGAAAGCCCAGGGCUCAACCUUGGAAUUGCCUUUGAUACUGGAUGUCUUGAGUUCGGGAGAGGUGAGUGGAAUGCCGAGUGUAGAGGUGAAAUUCGUAGAUAUUCGGCGGAACACCAGUGGCGAAGGCGACUCACUGGCCCGAUACUGACGCUGAGGCGCGAAAGCGUGGGGAGCAAACAGGAUUAGAUACCCUUGUAGUCC